rnacentral:rRNA from 1 species
UACGUAGGUGGCAAGCGUUGUCCGGAUUUACUGGGCGUAAAGAGCGCGCAGGCGGUCGUUCAAGUCGAGUGUGAAAGCCCCCGGCUCAACUGGGGAGGGUCACUCGAUACUGAUCGACUCGAAGGCAGGAGAGGGUAGUGGAAUUCCCGGUGUAGUGGUGAAAUGCGUAGAUAUCGGGAGGAACAUCAGUGGCGAAGGCGGCCUUCUGGUCCAGUACUGACACUCAAGUGCGAAAGCGUGGGGAGCAAACAGG